UUUCGCCUCCCUGCAGCGUGGGGCCAUGACUCACUUGCUGUGAUUCUCUGCAGCUUGAGGUCUUCCAUAAUCACAAUGUGAAGACUUCAAUAACCGGACAUAGGUAGGGGUUGUUAUAGAAAGGUGUAGAGGUAGGGUCUGUGGCCUGCUUUGUGCUGGGGGUGGGAC